AUGUCUGUUUUCAGUAUACCCAAAGGUGUUUGUAAGGAUAUCACGGACUUAAUUUCCCAGUAUUGGUGGGGUGAUGAUGAGGAACAUAAGAAAAUGCAUUGGUUUUCGUGGUGGGAACUAUGCUACCCCAAGAGUGAAGGGGGCAUGGGAUUUAGAGAUUUAUACUCCUUCAACUUGGCAAUGCUAUCAAAACAAUGCUGGAGGUUGAUCACAUGUCCUGAAUCUUUGUGUGCUAGAGUGCUCAAAGCAAAAUAUUUCCCAAAUGGGAGUCUACUCCAAGCUAGCUUAAAAAAUGGAGCAUCGUUUACUUGGCAAAGUAUCAUGAAAGGAUUAGAGACCUUCAAGCUGGGAUACAUAUGGAGAAUUGGGACAGGAGAGCAUGUGAACAUUUGGAGGGACCCGUGGAUCCCA
rnacentral:rRNA from 1 species